UGUCUUUUCGAAAAAAUAUAAAGUCCAAUCUGCUCACUGAGUAUUUAAAGAGCCGCAGUAUACUGACUGUGCAAAGGUAGCAUAAUCAAUAGUUUUUUAAUUGAAAACUUGAAUGAAAGAUUAGACGAAAAAUUUAUUUUCUUUAUUUUAGUAAAUUGAAUUUUAAUUUUAAGUGAAAAUGCUUAAUUACAUUUAAAAGACGAGAAGACCCUAUAGAUUUUUAUUAUUGAAAUAAAUUUUAAAUUUAAUUUAAUUAAAUAAUUUAAUUGGGGCGAUUUUGUAAAAUAUAAAACUUAAUUUUUUGGUACCAUUAAUAAUUGAAUAUUUUGAUCUAAAAUUUUUAAAGAAAAGAUUAAAUUACCUUAGGGAUAACAGCGUAAUUUCAUUUAAGAGUUCAUAUCUAUAAUGAAGUUUGCGACCUCGAUGUUGAAUUAAGAUAAUAUAUUGGAGUAGAAAUUAAUAUAAUUAGUCUGUUCGACUAUUAAAUUCUUACGUG
rnacentral:rRNA from 1 species